ensembl:lncRNA LINC01445 long intergenic non-protein coding RNA 1445
GACAUUACAAAGGAGCUCUGUGUCAGAAGCUAGGAUUAAAGAACAAAUACAGAACAAAUUAUUCCUCCAGCACCCCUACUGCAAGGAUUUUAAGAACUCUAUCUCAGGAUAAAGACCUGAGGGUCACAAGAUGUACAUUGCUGGCCUCAGCUGGAUUUUCCCAGGGUCAGGUGCCCAUUCCUACCUAAUCAAAGGACACUUCUGCUGACCUGCACCUAGAAUACCCUGUUCUGUGCUGAUGACUCAGAUGUAAGAAUGAUGAAGUGCAUCGGCUGGCAUGCAGAGAACAAUAAGAAAAAGAACUGAGUUGUGGGAAGACAUGAGGAAAGGACAUGAGGCUCUUAAUAACAGCUGCCAAGUACUGCAGUCGGGAAUCUGGAGCAAAGUGAUUCAAUUCUGACCACUGCCUGUGAGUAAAUGGGAUUUUAUUUUUCAAUACUUUUGUUUAAUAGUACCUCCUUCAUUACAUGUGAACAGCACUCCAGGACAGUAAAUCAUGAAAUGGGAAUAAAGCCUGUAAUUUUAAUUAACAUAUUUUAAAAUGUUUCUAAUUUGUAUGCAUUUGAUCAAAUUUUCAUUUGCAUUGAGCUAUUUUUUUUCUUUCUCAUGUAAUGUUUGACAUUACCAUUUCUUUCUUUAAUGAAAUACUAAUAUUUAAUAAAAUAUAUUACAUCCUUAA